rnacentral:rRNA from 1 species
GAUGAACGCUGGCGGCGUGCCUAAUACAUGCAAGUCGAGCGAACGGACGAAAAGCUUGCUUCUCUGAUGUAAGCGUCGGACGGGUGAGUAACACGUGGAGAACCUACCUAUAAGACUGGGGUAAAUUCGGGGAACCGGAGCUAAUUCCGGCUAAUAUUUUGAACAGCAUGGUUCAAGAGUAAAAGACGGUCUUGCUGUCACUUAUAGAUGAAGCCGCACUGGAUUAGCUAGUUGGUCAGGUAACGGCUUACCCAGGCAACGAUGCAUAGCCGACCUGAGAGGGUGAUCGGCCACACUGGAACUGAGACACGGUCCAGACUCCUACGGGAGGCAGCAGUAGGGAAUCUUCCGCAAUGGGCGAAAGCCUGACGGAGCAACGCCGCGUGAGUGAUGAAGGUCUUCGGGUUGUAAAACUCUGUCAGCAGGGAAGAAGAUAUGUGUAUGUAUCUCUGCACAUCUUGACGUUACCUAAUCAGAAAGCCCCGGCUAACUCCGUG